rnacentral:lncRNA from 1 species
GGUAGUUUGACGACGCUUAGUUCUCUUACUUUUUUAACUCCUAUGUUCGCCUCCAUUUUUGGGUUAAGACUCUGCGCAAUACGCUGGACGAUAAAAUUUACAUAAACAUAAAAUGCGAUGUUUCUUUUUUAACUGUUGGUCUGGGCAUUCCUUGCCGUUUCAGGUUCCUCUAUCUGGGAGAGACCUUUCGCACCUGAGCAGAUCGGUGGUGCACUUCUGACAUUGGUUGCCAUCUAUAUGGUUAAUUACAAGAGCAUUAUAGGCGAGAAGUAAGAGGCUGACGAAAACUUGAGAGAUUAUGUCACAGAUGGGUACUGGACUUCACUCAAGCRYCUGUAAUGGCGCUGUACUGGACUUUAAAGAUUAAGUUACGGAGUACAUGUUAGUGAUAAACAUCCCACCAAUUUGCAGCGCAUCCCUGUAUUUCGACUGAAAAGAUG